GAUGAACGCUGGCGACAUGGAUAAGGCAUGCAAGUCGAACGGAAACAUUUGAGAUUAUAUCAAUUUUGUUUUAGUGGCGAACGAGGUAGUAAUAUAUAGAUACGUACCCCAAAGUCGAGAAUAACUCAUCGAAAGAUGAGCUAAUACUCGAUAGUCUCUACGGAGUAAAGUUUUAACGCUUUGGGAACGGUCUGUACGAUAUCAGCUAGUUGGUAGGGUAAUGGCCUACCAAGGCAACGACGUCUAGAGGAGCUGAGAGGCUGACCCUCACCGAUGGAACUGAGACACGGUCCAUACACCUACGGGUGGCUGCAGUCGAGAAUCUUCCGCAAUGGGCGCAAGCCUGACGGAGCGAUGUCGCGUGAUUGAUGAAGUCCUUCGGGAUGUAAAGGUCUUUUAUGAGGGAGAAAGUUAUUGAUAGUACCUCAUGAAUAAGGGGUUGCUAAACUCGUG
rnacentral:rRNA from 1 species